AGUCUCAUUCAUUUUCAUACUACCUCUUCCCCAUCCAAGCUAGAAAACAACCUGAAUAUAAAUACAGCACUGUGAGUACAAAGGAGACGCUUCAUUUAAAAACGGCUGUGGGGGAACAAUGGAUGGAAAGUUGGGUGUGACACCAAGUACAUAUUCUUCUACCUAACUUACUCUAGAGUAAGAAGCAGAGGGCUCCAAGGACAGAACUGCAAGAUGUGUUGAGAAAAAG